rnacentral:rRNA from 1 species
UACGUAGGGUGCAAGCGUUGUCCGGAAUUAUUGGGCGUAAAGAGCUCGUAGGCGGUCUGUUGCGUCGGCUGUGAAAACCCGGGGGCUCAACCCCCGGGCCUGCAGCCGAUACGGGCAGACUAGAGUUCGGCAGGGGGAGACUGGAAUUCCUGGUGUAGCGGUGAAAUGCGUAGAUAUCAGGAGGAAUACCGGUGGUGUAGACGGCUCUCUGGACCGUAACUGACACUGAGACACGAAAGCGUGGGUAGCAAACAGG